UGUGCCAUUGUGCCUCGUGCCUCGUGCUGUGCCAUGUGUGCAUUAGUUAUAAUUAUUUACUUUUAUUACGCGUUUUAUUACAUAUUUUAUAUAUUUGUGACACCUGCAUUAGACUGCACGUUUUGAAUACUGUUUCGCUGAUAUUUAUUCUGUUAUUUCCAGCUUGGGGUGAUAUAAUUAAUUGAAGCCUAGAGAUUAUUCCACAAUGAAGACGAUUUAUGAUCGUCCAUCUCAGAAGCCAUUUAAUUGCCUUUCUGUUCGUCAACAACAGCGAAUAAAGAAAGCAAUCAAGGAAAAUGAGCAUAACAGAACGAUACAUGAAAAAACAUACAAUACAAGAUCAGUAGAUGAUUAUCUGUUUCAAGUGAAUACAAAAGAUGGAAUGUGCAAUGAAUCUUUAUGUUUAGAUGUAAAUUCUUCGAAUAAUGAAUUAUUUCCGUUUCAAAAUGAAGAAUCUAAUGCGGAAUUUUCUGAAAUAGAUUCUGAUGAGGAUGUUAGGAUUAACCGUAAUUAUACUGAUGAAGAAUGUGAUUAUUCUGACGACAACAAUAUUGAAAUAAUUGAUAAUUUCCAAAAACAAUUAGCUUCUUGUUUCGUUCAAAAUAAUUUCACUCAUGUUCAGGGAAAUGCAAUAUUAAAAGUAUUAAUUUCUCAUUCUUGUUUUUCAUAUUUACCUAAGGAUGUACGCACUCUUUUAAAGACUCCUUCUAAUACUGGAGAAAUUGUAAAAUUUGAAGAUGGAGAAUAUGUUCAUAUUGGCUUCGAAGUAUCUAUUAUUGCAAAAUUAUCUAACAUGCAUUCUCAUGCAAUUCCACUUUCCUUAGAGA